rnacentral:rRNA from 1 species
AUUGAACGCUGGCGGCAUGCUUUACACAUGCAAGUCGAACGGUAACAGGGAGCUUGCUCCGCUGACGAGUGGCGAACGGGUGAGUAAUAUAUCGGAACGUACCCAAGAGUGGGGGAUAACGUAGCGAAAGUUACGCUAAUACCGCAUACGAUCUAUGGAUGAAAGCAGGGGAUCUUCGGACCUUGUGCUCCUGGAGCGGCCGAUAUCUGAUUAGCUAGUUGGUGAGGUAAAGGCUCACCAAGGCGACGAUCAGUAGCUGGUCUGAGAGGACGACCAGCCACACUGGAACUGAGACACGGUCCAGACUCCUACGGGAGGCAGCAGUGGGGAAUUUUGGACAAUGGGCGCAAGCCUGAUCCAGCAAUGCCGCGUGAGUGAAGAAGGCCUUCGGGUUGUAAAGCUCUUUUGUCAGGGAAGAAACGGGAGUGGCUAAUAUCCAUUCCUAAUGACGGUACCUGAAGAAUAAGCACCGGCUAACUACGUGCCAGCCGCCGCAGUAA